CUCCAGUUCCAGGAAAGCUGAUACCCUUUCCUGACCUCUGAAAGGAUACCAUCCUCCACUUUAUGAUAAUAGUUCAGAUGCGGGUUUAAUUCGACUGGUGCUUGAUAAAAUGUAACUGGACUUUUGCAAUAUCCUUAAUAUUUAAU